UAUCAAGGGGGGAUCCGGGUGCUUCCCUUAAGCCGGCGCCAGCUGCGCCCUGUGGCUGUCCUAACAAAGUCCCAUUGACUCACCAGCUGAUUUUCCAGUGUUUGGCACCGGGGGACAAGGAACCCUCUCUGCUGGGUGGAUUUCACCCCUGCACACCGCCCCCACCACUCACCCCUCACGUCCUCCCCCAAUCCUGCCUCCCCAACGCAGACUGGGCUAAUUCUUUAUCCCAUGACCAGGUUCUAUCGGCUCUAGAGAAUAGAAGGGACCACAAGAGCCCAAGCACCGAGCGCCCUCAGGAAUGAAAUUCAAGUCUUCGAGAAUCUUUACUGGAAUAGGAACAGGGACCAAAGGAGCACCAGCACUCUGAUAAUUCCAACAGAAUUAGUAUGGAAGCCCCAAGAAGUGAAGUCACUCAUUGUUAAAUUCCUGCCUCUACCCUGCACCCCUUUCUAGCAACAGAUCUGGUGCAGAGGGUAUGUGUACUCCUUGUCUCUCUACCACCCAUCACCAGCAAGCCUCCACUCUGAACACAGUGCCAAAACUGCUCCAGCAAAGGGACUGCAAGCUCCGUCCUCUGUUUGGUGGUUGGGGCACAAACAUUAAGGAUCAUCACAUCCUCUUGAAGAAGCGAUCCUUUUGUCUUUAUGAAAUGAAUCUAUUUAUCUCUGGUAAAUUCUUUGCUCUGAAAUAAAUUUUGUCUGGUAUUAA